UUCUUAAUAUUAUGUUGGAAACAGUUGUGCUGCUUAAUAUUUUUGUGGAAUUUUUUCAGGGUUCCUUAAUGAUUAGAGAGUUCAAAUAAACAGCAUCUUUACUGUCACUUUUAAUCAAUUUAAUUCAUCCUUGCUGAAUAAAAGAAUUUCUGAAAAUAAAAAUUAUAAAUAAAAUAAAAUCUUACUCAUUGCCCUCAUUGGAGUUUAGCUCCAACUUGCCUCAACUCACCUGCCUGGAAGUUCCCAGGGCUGCGUUUAAGUCCAAUUAUUCACAAGUGUACAGUAUGUCUAAAAGUGGAUUUAAAGCAACACCAUGGAACAUUUUCUCACGGUUCCCCCAUGUGGUUGAUAAUCGCAAUUGUCUGUUACCAGUGUCAUAAAUACUGUCGCUGUAUAAGCUUCCCCAUUGGCAGCGCAAUACAUGUGAAUUUGUUGACAAAGCUGACGGAACCGGCGAAUGCAGAACCUUGUUUGGAAACCAUGUCCACCAACCAGAUUUGUGUUAUGACUUUUGCCUGGCUGUGUACGAUUCUGGAUAUCCAAAUAAAACUGCACUUGGAUCAGAGACAAGUCUCAGCAUCCGUGACAAAAACCUCCAUCAUCUUCAGAUCCGGCAGCAUGGUAAUCCGGAUCGUUCCCCCUACCUCUAUGAAGGAGCGACUGCGUACGACAUGAGAACUUGACUGCCCUAUGUCAGCAGGGGAUGCAGCUCCACCAGAUCCGCCAUGGGGGUCUUCAGUUCCGUCUGCAUGGCUGUGGUGGUCAUCUGUUCUGCCGUGGGGGUCUUCAAGUCCAUCUGCACGGUUGUGGUUGGUCGUUCUGCUCCACCGUGGGGGUCUUCAAGCCUGUCUACGUUGCAGUGGUGGCAGCCUGCCCAGCCUUGGCCAUCUGCUGAGCCUGCUCCACCCUGGCCACCUGCUCAGCUGGCUCCACCCUGGUCAUCUGCUUUGCCUUCAUUUCAAGUUCCCUUUCCCCUCCACAGACCUGGCCCACCAUCCCUCUCCCUGAUCCUCCUCCUCCCUUUUU